rnacentral:rRNA from 1 species
GAUGAACGCUAGCGGGAGGCCUAACACAUGCAAGCCGAGCGGUAUUUGUUCUUCGGAACAGAGAGAGCGGCGCACGGGUGCGGAACACGUGUGCAACCUGCCUUUAUCUGGGGGAUAGCCUUUCGAAAGGAAGAUUAAUACCCCAUAAUAUAUUGAGUGGCAUCAUUUGAUAUUGAAAACUCCGGUGGAUAGAGAUGGGCACGCGCAAGAUUAGAUAGUUGGUGAGGUAACGGCUCGCCAAGUCAAUGAUCUUUAGGGGGCCUGAGAGGGUGAUCCCCCACACUGGUACUGAGACACGGACCAGACUCCUACGGGAGGCAGCAGUGAGGAAUAUUGGACAAUGGGUUAGCGCCUGAUCCAGCCAUCCCGCGUGAAGGACGACGGCCCUAUGGGUUGUAAACUUCUUUUGUAUAGGGAUAAACCUACUCUCGUGAGAGUAGCUGAAGGUACUAUACGAAUAAGCACCGGCUAACUCCGUG